rnacentral:lncRNA from 1 species
CACCUGUAGCCUCCAGAACUGUGAUAAGAUAAAUGUCUAUUAUUUAAGCCACUCAGUCUAUGGUAUUUUGUUAUUGCAGCCUGAACAGACCAAGAAAAACAUGCUGAGAAAAUCCUUCAGCAAAGAAAUCAAUUGACCUUUAUUAGAACCAGCAUUUUCCACGUGCAGUUGGGAGGUCUCAGCAAUUUUUGCCAUACCCUCAUUCCUCAGUGCUCCCCAACAGUAAAGAAUGCUAAUAUGAUUAUUCAGAUUUUAGGUAGAAAUUGGUCCCUGAUUAGGAGAGAGCAGGGUCACUGUUUACUAAAGUCAGAUAUAUAACCACAAAUGAGUAAGGCCUGAUUCCUAGGACAGGGCUUCUCAAGCAUGAACAUUGCAUACAAAUCACAUGGAGAUCUUGUUUAAAUGUAGAUUCUGAUUGAGUAGGUCUUGUAUGGGGUCCCAGAUUCUGUAUUUCUUACAAAAUUUUAGGUAAUCCUGAUGUUGCCAGUCUGUGAACCAUACAUUGGAGAAUAUGGUGCUAAAAACAAUCUCAACCAUCUUGCUCCCUGUAUUCUUGUCUCUUCUUCACCUGAUAUGCCAGGUAUUUCUAUCUCCAGCAGCCAGCUAACAAGAUUAGGAGGAAGGAGAGAGGCCUUGAGUAGGUUUGACCUUGAGCCUGAACUAACUGCUCCAACUAAGCUGUGCAAGACAGCUCCCACAGGAGUACCAUGCAUUAGCUCAAGUGGGAGUACUUUUGACUCCCCCCCCNNUUUUUUUUUUCUUUUUGCCUCUGGUAUUUGAGGUCCCUUCUAUAAUCCCACAGUGAAAGUGGUGAUCAUCAAAACAGGAAUCAUGCCUUCUUGGGUCCCUCAGCCAUAAUGUCGUCUUAACACAAGCAACAUUCCACCCGCGCCCUUUAUGCAAUGCUUGCUUAAAGAUGGAUCACUAUUUACACAGGGCAUCUUUUAGCAGAGGAAUAUGGUACUGGAAGGCUUCCCAGGUGGCUCAAUGGUAAAGAAUCCACCUGCCAAUGCAGAAGAC